rnacentral:rRNA from 1 species
AUUGAACGCUGGCGGCAGGCCUAACACAUGCAAGUCGAACGAGUGGCGGACGGGUGAGUAAUGUCUGGGAAACUGCCCGAUGGAGGGGGAUAACUACUGGAAACGGUAGCUAAUACCGCAUACCAUCUGAUGUGCCCCGAUGGGAUUAGCUUGUAGGUGAGGUAACGGCUCACGUAGGCGACGAUCCCUAGCUGGGCUGAGAGGGUGACCAGCCACACUGUAACUGAGACAGGGUCCAGAUGCCGACGGUAGGCAGCAGGGGGGAAUAUGGAAAAAGGGGCGCAAGCCUGAUGCAGCCAUGCCGCGGGUAUGAAGAAGGCCUUCGGGUUGUAAAGUACUUGCAGCGGGGAGGCGUUACCCGCAGAAGAAGCACAGGCGAACGCCGUGCCAGCAGCCGCGGUAAUUC